rnacentral:rRNA from 1 species
CUAACACAUGCAAGUCGAGCGAAGCGGUUUUAAGGAAGUUUUCGGAUGGAAUUAAAACUGACUGAGCGGCGGACGGGUGAGUAACGCGUGGGUAACCUGCCUCAUACAGGGGGAUAACAGUUAGAAAUGGCUGCUAAUACCGCAUAAGCACACAGCUUCGCAUGGAGCAGUGUGAAAAACUCUGGUGGUAUGAGAUGGACCCGCGUCUGAUUAGCUAGUUGGUAAGGUAACGGCUUACCAAGGCGACGAUCAGUAGCCGACCUGAGAGGGUGACCGGCCACAUUGGGACUGAGACACGGCCCAAACUCCUACGGGAGGCAGCAGUGGGGAAUAUUGCACAAUGGGGGAAACCCUGAUGCAGCGACGCCGCGUGAGUGAAGAAGUAUCUCGGUAUGUAAAGCUCUAUCAGCAGGGAAGAAAAUGACGGUACCUGACUAAGAAGCCCCGGCUAACUACGUGCCAGCAGCCGCGGUAAUACGUAGGGGGCAAGCGUUAUCCGGAUUUACUGGGUGUAAAGGGAGCGUAGACGGCGGAGCAAGUCUGAAGUGAAAGCCCGGGGCUCAACCCCGGGACUGCUUUGGAAACUGUUCUGCUAGAGUGCUGGAGAGGUAAGUGGAAUUCCUAGUGUAGCGGUGAAAUGCGUAGAUAUUAGGAGGAACACCAGUGGCGAAGG